rnacentral:rRNA from 1 species
UACGGGGGGAGCAAGCGUUGUUCGGAUUUACUGGGCGUAAAGGGCGCGUAGGCGGCCACCGCAAGUCGACUGUGAAAUCUCCGGGCUUAACCCGGAAAGGUCAGCCGAUACUGCGGGGCUAGAGUGCAGAAGGGGCAACUGGAAUUCCUGGUGUAGCGGUGAAAUGCGCAGAUAUCAGGAGGAACACCAAUUGCGAAGGCAGCUCGCUGGGACGUUACUGACGCUGAGACGCGAAAGCGUGGGGAGCAAACAGG